rnacentral:rRNA from 1 species
CAGGCUUAACACAUGCAAGUCGAGGGGCAGCAUUUUAGUUUGCUUGCAAACUGAAGAUGGCGACCGGCGCACGGGUGAGUAACACGUAUCCAACCUGCCGAUAACUCCGGAAUAGCCUUUCGAAAGAAAGAUUAAUACCGGAUAGCAUACGAAUAUCGCAUGAUAUUUUUAUUAAAGAAUUUCGGUUAUCGAUGGGGAUGCGUUCCAUUAGUUUGUUGGCGGGGUAACGGCCCACCAAGACAACGAUGGAUAGGGGUUCUGAGAGGAAGGUCCCCCACAUUGGAACUGAGACACGGUCCAAACUCCUACGGGAGGCAGCAGUGAGGAAUAUUGGUCAAUGGGCGAGAGCCUGAACCAGCCAAGUAGCGUGAAGGAUGAAGGCUCUAUGGGUCGUAAACUUCUUUUAUAUGGGAAUAAAGUUUUCCACGUGUGGAAUUUUGUAUGUACCAUAUGAAUAAGGAUCGGCUAACUCCGUGCCAGCAGCCGCGGUAAUACGGAGGAUCCGAGCGUUAUCCGGAUUUAUUGGGUUUAAAGGGAGCGUAGGUGGAUUGUUAAGUCAGUUGUGAAAGUUUGCGGCUCAACCGUAAAAUUGCAGUUGAAACUGGCAGUCUUGAGUACAGUAGAGGUGGGCGGAAUUCGUGGUGUAGCGGUGAAAUGCUUAGAUAUCACGAAGAACUCCGAUUGCGAAGGCAGCUCACUAGACUGUCACUGACACUGAUGCUCGAAAGUGUGGGUAUCAAACAGGAUUAGAUACCCUGGUAGUCCACACAGUAAACGAUGAAUACUCGCUGUUUGCGAUAUACAGUAAGCGGCCAAGCGAAAGCAUUAAGUAUUCCACCUGGGGAGUACGCCGGCAACGGUGAAACUCAAAGGAAUUGACGGGGGCCCGCACAAGCGGAGGAACAUGUGGUUUAAUUCGAUGAUACGCGAGGAACCUUACCCGGGCUUAAAUUGCAACAGAAUAUAUUGGAAACAGUAUAGCCGUAAGGCUGUUGUGAAGGUGCUACAUGGUUGUCGUCAGCUCGUGCCGUGAGGUGUCGGCUUAAGUGCCAUAACGAGCGCAACCCUUAUCUUUAGUUACUAACAGGUGAUGCUGAGGACUCUAGAGAGACUGCCGUCGUAAGAUGUGAGGAAGGUGGGGAUGACGUCAAAUCAGCACGGCCCUUACGUCCGGGGCUACACACGUGUUACAAUGGGGGGUACAGAAGGCGGCUACCUGGUGACAGGAUGCUAAUCCCAAAAACCUCUCUCAGUUCGGAUCGAAGUCUGCAACCCGACUUCGUGAAGCUGGAUUCGCUAGUAAUCGCGCAUCAGCCAUGGCGCGGUGAAUACGUUCCCGGGCCUUGUACACACCGCCCGUCAAGCCAUGAAAGCCGGGGGUACCUGAAGUACGUAACCGCAAGGAGCGUCCUAGGGUAAAACUGGUAAUUGGGGC